rnacentral:rRNA from 1 species
UACGUAGGACCCAAGCGUUAUCCGGAACUACUGGGCGUAAAGAGUUGCGUAGGUGGCAAUAUAAGCAAAUAGUGAAAGCGUGCGGCUCAACCGCAUUUCCAUUAUUUGAACUAUAUAGCUAGAGCAUGAGAGAGGUAGAUGGAAUUUCUAGUGUAGGAGUGAAAUCCGUAGAUAUUAGAAGGAACACCGAUGGCGUAGGCAGUCUACUGGCUCAUUGCUGACACUAAGGCACGAAAGCGUGGGGAGCGAACGGG